CUCUCUCAUGCUCGCCUGAAGGCUCUCCUUUAAGCCACAAGCCAGAAAUUUGGUCUGCAAUAAAGAACAGCCUCAGAGCUCACGAAAAGGACUCUGCCGGGUAUUUUUUAACAAUUGGUAUUUCAGAAAAUAGAGUUAGAAGGUGACAUCGCUUAGAAAAUUGCAGAGGGACGUGGGAUUUCCAGGAUGCUUUGUAAUUCAGUACCAGAUAAUUUUAUAGAAGCCAACUGAUGACUCAAGCUCUAAUGGAAGAAGAAUAAAUUAAGAAUGACUGAAGGAACUCAAGAAGAACAUCUAAUUGUGAUCAUUUAUUUUGGAAUAAUGCUGAGACGUCAUGCAAGUGGAAUUAUACAAUAUAGUUGAUACACUCUUAUCCAGAGGGAUACGUUCCAAGACCCACAGUGGAUGCCUGAAGCCAUGGAUAGUACCAAACUGAAGAGGAGAUUUGGACACACAAAGAGACACGAGGGGCACUCCACAAAGGAAAGAGCGUAUGAGGACACAGCAAGAAGACAGCCAUGUGCAAGCCAAGGAGAGAGGCCUCAGGGAAAACCAAACCGGCUGACAACUUGGCCUUGGACUUUCAGCCUCUAGA